ACACAUUCUAACUCUGUCUCAGAGAGUUGGAGUAAGGUUAAAAUGGGAAAAUAUGUAUGUGUGCUACCAACCAUCAUAUAGAAGAGGCUGUUGCAAUUAGGAUGGCGAAUGGUGAAAAACAGUGUGGUUGAAUUGAACAUAAGCUGAAGGGCUAGACAUCAUGGCUUCAAUCCUUGUGGAGAUGCCUUUGGAUAAUUUCUGCUUGCUAAAGAGGCGGGGCCUUAGUCCUCAUCGGCCGAUGGUUUGGAGACUGAAUCAACUAUCUGACUAUUACUCAAGAGUGAGGUUAAUGACCCUGCAGGAGCCAGGAAGAAGCAAGAGAAAUCUCAGGGAGCUCAGAACACAAAGCCUGAUGAUGAGAAAAAAAUGUUAAGAGAGCAGCACCCAGCUCAAAGGUGGAGACAUCGUGACAAAAUGAACUCAGGAGCAAAUACAGGGAUUUUGCUCUCACUGUGAGCAGCAUGGAGGCCCUCAUUCUGAGCCCUAACUCCUUGAGGGAAAUAGAGAAUCGAAUAAAUCUCA
ensembl:lncRNA MIR3681HG MIR3681 host gene